CAGUGGAGAGUAGAUUUUAUCACAUUAGAGGUCUUUCUGAAAGCGCUGUAACUAAGUUUAAGAAUAUAAUCCACCCACUGUUAUCAUCUUCAAUGCUCAUCGAGCAGAGCAGCUAUCUGAACACUACCACAUCAGUGGUCGAUUAUCUUGUUAAUAAUUUUACAUUCCUCACUACGUACGACUCUACGUACGAGGUCUGUUAGCGGCUGGGUAUCAGGAAGACCUGGAUGACGCCACUGCAAUCCCAAAGCGACACUUCAACGACACCCUAGCCACCCAGCUUGCUAUCCUGACCUCCCGCCAGCAGCGCAACUGGGAUCAACACCUUCCCCUGGUCCUAAUGUCCUACUGUUUGGCGGUCCAGGAAUCUACUGAGUGCACUCCAGCGACCUUGAUGUUUGGGCAUGAGCUUUGUACCCCAGUGGACUUGGUCUUCGGAUCCCCCCAUGGAAUGUCCUCAAAGACGCCGUCGCCUUCCCCAACACCUCAGAGACUUUGCUAUGGACUUGUCGGUUGCUGGGGACAGCUAACCACUCAGAGGCGGCGGCAAGAGGGGAGACCUCGGCUCAUCCAGCUGGACAGCCUGAUCAGGAGGAGUCGAACAUUAACUCAGGUCUUCCAGGGCACCCUGCAGACUCAGCUGCUGGCAACAGCGAGGGAGUGCGGCCGCCGCUGGGAUGACGUGAACGCCAAACAGGAGUCCAUCACAGGUCAAUUGCAGCUCCUUGUCUCAGAGUGGGAGGGAUUUGAAGCACAAAGGGAGGAGCUUGUCAUUUGGUUGGCUGAUAUGGAUGUCCACCUGAGUGAGGUUUACCAGCUAACAGGAAACACCAGUGAAAAACUGAAACAACUGCAGGUGUGGCCUUGUUUUGAUAUAACAUAUAUUUGAUAUGAUACAUACGUCAGAGACAUUGUCCUAAACUGGACUAACAAAGGACCAUGAGUCCAACAUGAAACUUACCUUACAUAAGGUAAGGCUGAAGUUCAUUGAUAAUUUUAAUCAAAAACUUGUUGUUGAAAUAUUUUUACUGAAUAUGCAAACAUCUGCUGAUGAAAAUGUGUUGAUUUAUUGGUCUGUUAUGAAGC
ensembl:lncRNA